GUGGAAAAUUUCCCGUUUAUAGCUACUAAAGUGGUUCGACAAACCCAGUCCGAUCAUGACGCUAUUAUUUUAGAUUUAUGGGGUAGGAAACCGAAAGACUACCCGAAAGAUAAGAGAUUGUGCUUCAAGUUUGAUGUCUGUUGGGCUGGGGAUGAGGAAGCUAAAAAUGUUAUUGAAAGAGCCUAGAAUAGAGAGGAUACAAACUACGGGGAAAAGAUGGAAAGGGUGCGAUCGGCUCUGGGUCCUUGGCAAUGUCAGAAAUUUGGGAAAAUGAAGAGUGAAAUGCGGAAAUUGGAAAAACAGAUUGAGUCGAUCAUUGAUUCCGCCAGCAGAGUGGAUAGUGGGAAAAAGCUAAAGGAAGCUCGUAGAAGGCUUGACUUUCUCUAUGCUAGGGAAGAAAGCUACUGGGCUCAAAGGUCUAGGUCGAGAUGGCUUAGGGAGGGAGAUCGAAAUACUAGGUAUUUCCAUGCUAAAGCUACUGGUCGCCUGAAAAAGAACAAUAUUGAGAGGAUCAAAGAUGUGGAAGGAAAUUGGGUGAUAAAUAGUAAAGACAUUUGUAAGGUGGCUAAAGAUUAUUUUGUGAGUCUGUUCCGGGCAAACGGCCAAAAUGUUGAAAUCCAAGAGAUGGGGUACAUGAAGGAGUGCGUGACGAGGGAAACAAAUGAAUGGCUCAAUAUGACCUAUACAGAGGAAGAGGUUCUUCAAGCUAUCAAGCAAAUGAACCCAAACAAAGCCCCUGGUAUUGAUGGGCUAUCAGGAAAUUUUUUCAAGCACCAUUGGGAGAUAGUGGGAAAGGAUACCAUUCGAACUUGCUUAGACGUUCGUAACGGGGAAAAGGAUAUUUCUAGUCUUAAUGAUACUAUGAUCAUAUUAAUCCCUAAAAUUAGAGAUCCUUGUGAGAUUACUAACUAUCGCCCUAUAAGUUUGUGUAGGUUUGUAUACAAGAUCAUCUCAAAAGUGUAUGCGAAUCGGCUAAAAAUUGUCCUACCUAGCUGCAUCAGCCAAAAUCAAAGCGCUUUUGUGCCGGGCAGGAUGAUACACGACAAUAUCCUAAUAGCGCAUGAGCUCCUCCAUUACCUUCAAAGCUCUAAAAAUGGGCCCAAUAAAGGAUUUGUGGUCAAGCUCGACAUGAGCAAAGCAUAUGACCGCGUUGAGUGGAAUUUCAUUGAAACAAUUAUGAAGAAAAUGGGAUUCGAUGGAAAGUGGACUGCUAAAAUCAUGGAAUGUGUCCGCUCGGUUAAAUAUAUGGUUAAAUGCAAUAAUGUUUUAUCUGAUUCUUUCAUCCCUGAGAGGGGCCUCCGCCAAGGGGAUCCCCUAUCUCCAUAUUUGUUUUUAUUUUGUAUGGAAGCUCUGUCGAGAAUGCUUAUUCAUGCCCAGGAGAAUAACUCUUUAAGGGGCAUUCGGGCAAGUAGGGAUGGUCCUAGAAUAAAUCAUCUAUUCUUUGCUGAUGACGCACUUUUGUUUGUCAGGAAUAAAAAGGGUGAUGUGGAGAGUCUUAUUAACAUGCUCAAUACUUUCUCCAAUAUUUUAGGCCAAGAGAUUAAUCUUGAAAAGUCUAUGGUUCUUUUUAGCCCAAACACAUCACGUGAUCAGAGAGCUUUCUUUGGUGGCCUCCUUGGCAUGACGGUGGUGGAGAAUCUAAACAAUUACCUUGGCCUCCCUAUUCCUGUAGGUAAGAAGAAAUCUGCGGCUUUCAAGGAGAUUACUAAUAGGCUGUCUUGCAGGAUAAAUAGUUGGACAAAAAGGUUGCUCUCCUUUGGCGGUAAGGAAGUCUUCAUCAAAGCGGUGCUCCAAUCUAUUCCCACGUAUGCUAUGUCGGUUUUCUUGGCACCCAAAGGCAUUAUUGAUGACAUCCAGGCAAAGCUGAGCAGAGCUUGGUGGGCGGGAAAGGAGAAAGGAAGAUACUGGACUAUGAUCCCGUGGAAGACCUUAUGUAAACCGAAGGCUAUGGGAGGUCUUGGAAUUCGUGAUGUUCGACUUUUCAACAUGGCUCUCUUAGGGCGUCAAGUGUGGAGACUAAUAAACAACACUGAUUCUCUCUGCUUCAAAGUUCUGUCUUCAGAAUAUUUUCCUGACGGUAACAUUUUUAAAGCUAAAAAGGUUGACAAAGCAUCCUUCACCUGGUCAAGCAUUGCGAAAGCAGCGGAAAUGCUAAAAGAAGGCUUUGGCUGGCAGGUUGGAAAUGGUGAAAAGAUAAAUAUUUGGGCCGAUAACUGGGGAAUGGAAGGUCUAAAUGGGGACGUCAUUAAAAGCAACACCUUAAACCAAAAUGAAAAAAGGGUAAAAGAUCUGUGGCUUGGGGACAGCAGAUGCUGGGACGCCAACAGAGUCGAGCAAGUUUACGGACGGGAUUGGGGCGACAAGAUAUGUAACAUUCCUAUUGAAGAUGUGGGACAAGCUGAUAGAAUGAUAUAGUUUCAUAACCCUCAUGGAUAUUUUACCUCAAAGUCUGCCUAUUCCUGGUUGCUGUUGAAGGAAAUAGGAUAUGGCCCUCAUAGGUUGUUUUGGAAAGCCAUUUGGAAGCUUGACACCUUACCGAAGAUUCGUGUCUUUACGUGGAGAGUGGGGCAUGAAAUACUUCCGACGAACUGUAAGAUCGCCAGCAUCAGACAAGAAUUCGACAAGGGAUGCCCAAGAUGUGGAGCUGAAACCGAAACGUUGUUACAUGCGUUAAAAGACUGCCCAACCUCAAGAGCUGUUCUUUCGAUAGGCGGAUGGACCAGGAGCUUUAUCUCUAAGAAUUACGAUCGGUGUAUUGACUGGUUGGAAGAACUGAUGCGGGUCCUGGAUAAGAGAGCUAUGGCCGACCUGAUGACAAUUCUUUGGAACUGCUGGAAUAACAGAAAUAAUUUUAUUUUCAGGGGAAAAGAAGAGGAGGCUAAACAGAUAUGGGAAAGAGCCAGUAACCUGCACAGGGAAUUUCGAAUUUGUAACCUGCUGAAAGAACCAUUAUUAUCGCAGAAUAUAGAGGAGAAAAAGUGGAAAAAACCUCCAAAGAAUUUUCUCAAAGUAAACUUUGAUGCUACUGUAGGUGAAAAUAGAUGCGGGUAUGGGACGAUUAUAAGAGAUGAAGAAGGCUUUGUAUUAGGAGGGGUGGGGGUUUCAAAGAAGGCAGAAUGUCGGUGGAAGAAGCAGAUGUAUGGCGUUCGAAGAAAGUAUAAAAGUUGCAUGUAAUUUGAAUUUAAAAGAUCAAGUCAUCUUUGAGACAGAUCACGUGGGGCUGGUCAACAAGUUUAAUAAAUUAGCCCAUGACGUCACCACAAUAGGCGCACGGAUAAAGGAUUGCACAACAGCUUUCUGCUUUUUCAAAUCGGCCAAUUUAAUUUGGACCGAACGGUCUUGUAACACUGUAGCUCAUUUAAUUUGUAAAAAAAUGUGUAGUGAGGCUAAACAUUGUCUGUUCGAAAUGGAUUAUUCGCCCGAAAUCCACAAUGCUGUAAUUUGUGAUGUUUCUUAAUAAAUUGUGUUGACCCUUGGGGUCGUUUUGUUUCAAAAAAAAAAGUAUGUCGCCUGGUAGCGCAUUGACCAAGUUUUUUUUAGCUCUUUAGGGGGAAGUGAUAUUGAGCGAGCAGGGGUUAUCUAGGGCAUUGCCCACGCCCAUCGCAUGCCCGGACGUCGGUGCCCCCCCUGGUUAGGUUCCCGGCGGUGCUCCGGCGAUCCGUCCCGGCGAGGCAUCCCAGGAUAUACGAAAAGGAUGAACCGAGUCCCUCCCCAAUACCAAAGCUAGAAUUAAAAUAUCGUUACAUGUUCGGUACCCAAUAAUAUGAAUGAACCGUCCCGGUCCAUCCCCAAUCCAAGGGUAGAUUUCGGAUAUACAACAAUGAAGGAAUCAUCCCGGUCACUCCCCUUUUGCAACAAGAGCCUCAAGCACCUUGGUGGCUCAGAUAUGCGGGAGCCUCGAGCAGCAUCGGCACCUUGGUGCUCGGAUGUGUGGCAGCCUCGGCCACCAUCUGCAACCUUGGUGCUCGGAUGUGCGGGAGCCUCGACCACCAUCGACACCUUGGUGCUAGGAUGUGCGGAAGCCUCGAGCACAAAAGCUGAAGUUGGGCCCCUGUUGGUGUAGGAGCGUCGGGCUAAAAAAGUGUCCCCGUUUCAGAGACAUGAAGGAGGGGGUGGGGGUUUCAAAGAAGGCAGAAUGUCGGUGGAAGAAGCAGAGUGUAUGGCGUUCGAAGAAAGUAUAAAAGUUGCAUGUAAUUUGAAUUUAAAAGAGCAAGUCAUCUUUGAGACAGACCACGUGGGGCUGGUCAACAAGUUUAAUAAAUUAGCCCAUGACGUCACCACAAUAGGCGCACGGAUAAAGGAUUGCACAGCAGCUUUCAGCUUUUUCAAAUCGGCCAAUUUAAUUUGGACUGAACGGUCUUGUAACACUGUAGCUCAUUUAAUUUGUAAAAAAAUGUGUAGUGAGGCUAAACAUUGUUUGUUCGAAAUGGAUUAUCCACCGGAAAUCCACAAUGCUGUAAUUUGUGAUGUUUCUUAAUAAAUUGUGUUGACCCUUGGGGUCGUUUUGUUUCAAAAAAAAAAGAAUGUCGCCUGGUAGCGCAUUGACCAAGUUUUUUUAGCUCUUUAGGGGGAAGUGAUAUUGAGCGAGCAGGGGUUGUCCAGGGCAUUGCCCACGCCCAUCUUAUGCCCGGACGACGGGGCCCUCCACCGCCGGUUAGGUUCCCGGCGGUGCUCCGGCGAUCCAUCCCGGCGGUGCUCUGGCGAUCCAUCCUGCGGCGCUCCGGUGAUCCAUCCCGGUAUAUAGAAAAUGACGCAGCGAGUUGUCCCGGUCCCUCCCCUUUCAGAACAAGAGCCUCUAGCACCUUGGGCCCUUGGUCAUGCCGGAGCACAUGGCAGCAUCGGCACCUUGGUGGCUCGGAUGUGCGGGAGCCUCGAGCACCAUCGGCACCUUGGUGCUUAGAUGUGCAGGAGCCUCGACCACCAUCGUCACCUUGAUGCCACGGAUAUGCGGGAGACUCGAGCAGCAUCGGCACCUUGGUGCUUGGAUGUACGGGAGGCUC
rnacentral:lncRNA from 1 species